rnacentral:rRNA from 1 species
AACGAACGCUGGCGGCAGGCCUAACACAUGCAAGUCGAGCGAGGUAGCAAUACCUAGCGGCGGACGGGUGAGUAACGCGUGGGAACGUGCCCCUUGGUACGGAAUAGCCCCGGGAAACUGGGAGUAAUACCGUAUGAGCUCUACGGAGGAAAGAUUUAUCGCCAAGGGAUCGGCCCGCGUUGGAUUAGGUAGUUGGUGGGGUAAUGGCCUACCAAGCCGACGAUCCAUAGCUGGUUUGAGAGGAUGAUCAGCCACACUGGGACUGAGACACGGCCCAGACUCCUACGGGAGGCAGCAGUGGGGAAUCUUAGACAAUGGGCGCAAGCCUGAUCUAGCCAUGCCGCGUGAGCGAUGAAGGCCUUAGGGUUGUAAAGCUCUUUCAGCUGGGAAGAUAAUGACUGUACCAGCAGAAGAAGCCCCGGCUAACUCCGUGCCAGCAGCCGCCGUAAUAG